UAUGAGCCGCAUUCAGUUUUGCCCGUUGGUUCAAUUGCACUCAACGAGCCCAUGGGUUUUAUUCGUCUUCUAAAAGUUAAGACCCUUGCGAGUAACGCUGCAUUCCACACGCCGUUCGUUAGGCAUAUAUGGACAUGGAUGGGACUUGCACCUGCGUCAAGAGAAAAUUUAUUGUCUUUCUUGGAUGCCGGUUACAGCUGCAUCAUAGUGCCUUGAGGUGAAUCGCGUUGUCAGUUGCACUGCCAUCAACAACCGAAGUAGUCGUUCCCACAGUAUCUUGACAGUUCUUGUGCAUGGUAAAGAUGUAUCUGGAAGUAUACUUCGCAGUUGCCUUCAUUUGGUGGACCUUGCGGGAAGUGAAAGGGUCGCCAAGUCGGAAGUUGUGGGAGAUUGGUAGUACUGGUGCUGUGUAGGGGGACAUGCGAAAACAUUGAUGUUUGCUCAUGUGAGACCCAAAGUAGAUUCGUUCAGGGAGACAAUCAGUACUUUGAAAUUUGCUCAGAGAGCCUCAACCGUGGAACUUGGUGCAGCUCAUAUGAACAAGGAGAGCACCGAGGUUAAGACAUUCAAAGAACAGAUUGAGAGCCUAAAGAAGGCAUAGGCUAACAAGGAAGCACGCAGUGGACAACCAAAUGAGCCAAGAUCUUCACUUGAGAAACAUGCAAUGAAUGAACGUACUCCUCCACGCUGCCGAAGGCUAAGCAUUGAAAAUUGCCGCACAAUGGAAAAGGAGAAACCACGAUCAACACCUGAACGUACUCCACGACCACGCGCCCGGAGGUUGAGCAUCGAAAAUUGCAACACAGAGAAAAAUGAGAAAUCAACGAUGAACGCCGACGAAAAAGGGGAACCAAAACCCAUUCUAUGCCAACUCGUUCACGGAGACUAAGUUUAGAGGGUCCAAAACUACUUGAAGCAGGGUCAAAGCCUUGUGAACAAAGGGCUCCUCGGAGUCCAACAAGUGUUGUAUGUACAAGCAAAGUGUCAAAAACAAAUGGUAGAGCAAAAAUACGACCCCUUGAACUACCGAAAACACUUGAGCCACCAUCAAAAGUUACUAGAAAUGAGGUUCAGAUCAUGACCAGUAGUACAAAUGGGAAAUGAUCUCAGAUAAAGAAAUUGCUGCAGACGAUUGGGAGGCUGAUUAAUGGCUCUGACAAAAGGUACAAAUGAAAUUACGAUUUCCAGGACACUGCCUCCAGUUCACCCAUCAGCCAAGGCCACAAACCGGUGGCUAUCGAGCAUUUAGCAGUAAGCUCCAAGGAUACCAGAGGUGCUUCGACUUGAAGCAAAUUGACACGUUGGCGUUUGAUUUAGGACAAAUUUUGGCAACUACCCAGAUGCUUAAGUGAUGACAAGAACUAACUGUUACUUUUGCAAAGAGAAAAGAAUACGUUCUAUUGCAUAACUCAAGUGAUUACAAAGAAGAACAUAACAAA